rnacentral:rRNA from 1 species
AGCAGCCGCGGUAAUUCCAGCUCCAAUAGCGUAUAUUAAAGUUGCUGCAGUUAAAAAGCUCGUAGUUGAAUUUCGGGACCAUCAUGUCGGUCGUGCCUCGGUACGUACUGGUAUUGUUGGUUUCUCCCUUCUGAAGAACCUUGAUGUCAUUAAUUUGGUGUCUUGGGGAAUCAGGACCGUUACUUUGAAAAAAUUAGAGUGUUUAAAGCAGGCUCACGCUUGAAUACAUUAGCAUGGAAUAAUGAAAUAGGACGUUUGAUUCUAUUUUGUUGGUUUCUAGGAUCGACGUAAUGAUUAAUAGGGAUAGUUGGGGGCAUUAGUAUUCAAUUGUCAGAGGUGAAAUUCUUGGAUUUAUUGAAGACUAACUACUGCGAAAGCAUUUGCCAAGGAUGUUUUCAUUAAUCAAGAACGAAAGUUAAGGGGAUCGAAGACGAUCAGAUACCGUCGUAGUCUUAACCAUAAACUAUGCCGACUAGGGAUCGGAUGAUGUUAAUUUUUAAUGACUCAUUCGGCGCCUUAC